AAUGAACGCUGGCGGCGUGCUUAACACAUGCAAGUCGAGCGGAUGACGGGAGCUUGCUCCUUGAUUCAGCGGCGGACGGGUGAGUAAUGCCUAGGAAUCUGCCUGGUAGUGGGGGACAACGUUUCGAAAGGAACGCUAAUACCGCAUACGUCCUACGGGAGAAAGCAGGGGACCUUCGGGCCUUGCGCUAUCAGAUGAGCCUAGGUCGGAUUAGCUAGUUGGUGGGGUAAUGGCGCACCAAGGCGACGAUCCGUAACUGGUCUGAGAGGAUGAUCAGUCACACUGGAACUGAGACACGGUCCAGACUCCUACGGGAGGCAGCAGUGGGGAAUAUUGGACAAUGGGCGAAAGCCUGAUCCAGCCAUGCCGCGUGUGUGAAGAAGGUCUUCGGAUUGUAAAGCACUUUAAGUUGGGAGGAAGGGCAGUAAGUUAAUACCUUGCUGUUUUGACGUUACCGACAGAAUAAGCACCGGCUAACUCUGUGCCAGCCGCCGCCGUAA
rnacentral:rRNA from 1 species